GCAGGUAUAGUAUAGCGAUUAUUAUGUGACCUUCCCAAGGUUAAGAUGAGGGUUUGACUCCCUUUACCUGCUCCA
rnacentral:tRNA from 1 species